GCUGGCGGCGUGCUUAACACAUGCAANUCGAACGGAAAGGCCCUGCUUUUGUGGGGUGCUCGAGUGGCGAACGGGUGAGUAACACGUGAGUAACCUGCCCUUGACUUUGGGAUAACUUCAGGAAACUGGGGCUAAUACCGGAUAGGAGCUCCUGCUGCAUGGUGGGGGUUGGAAAGUUUCGGCGGUUGGGGAUGGACUCGCGGCUUAUCAGCUUGUUGGUGGGGUAGUGGCUUACCAAGGCUUUGACGGGUAGCCGGCCUGAGAGGGUGACCGGCCACAUUGGGACUGAGAUACGGCCCAGACUCCUACGGGAGGCAGCAGUGGGGAAUAUUGCACAAUGGGCGGAAGCCUGAUGCAGCAACGCCGCGUGCGGGAUGACGGCCUUCGGGUUGUAAACCGCUUUCGCCUGUGACGAAGCGUGAGUGACGGUAAUGGGUAGAGAAGCACCGGCUAACUACGUGCCAGCAGCCGCGGUGAUACGUAGGGUGCGAGCGUUGUCCGGAUUUAUUGGACGUAAAGGGCUCGUAGGUGGUUGAUCGCGUCGGAAGUGUAAUCUUGGGGCUUAACCCUGAGCGUGCUUUCGAUACGGGUUGACUUGAGGAAGGUAGGGGAGAAUGGAAUUCCUGGUGGAGCGGUGGAAUGCGCAGAUAUCAGGA
rnacentral:rRNA from 1 species